GAUGAACGCUGGCGGCGUGCCUAAUACAUGCAAGUCGAGCGAAGCGGGGAAGGGUGAGUAACACGUGGAUAACCUCCUAUAAGACUGGGAUAACUUCGGGAGACCGGAGCGCAAUCGGGUACUUAUAUAUGGAUCUACGCUGCAUUAGCUAGUUGGUAAGGUAACGGCUUACCAAGGCAACGAUCCAUAGCCGGCCUGAGAGGGUGAUCGGCCACACUGGAACUGAGACACGGUCCAGACUCCUACGGGAGGCAGCAGUGGGGAAUCUUCCGCAAUGGGCGAAAGCCUGACGGAGCAACGCCGCGUGAGUGAUGAAGGUCUUCGGAUCGUAAAACUCUGUUAUUAGGGAAGCGGGACCUAAACAGAAAGCCACGGCUAAAUACGUGCCAGCCGCCGCGGGAAUAC
rnacentral:rRNA from 1 species